AUGCACUUUCUUAAUUUCGGCCGUUGAGGUUCAAAGUCAUGAUCACUGAGACUGUCGGGUUCCCCAUGUACUAAAUUUCGGACUCCGAAAGUCUAUGUUUUGUGCUAUAUUGUGUAUCUGUGUGUGUGUUCUUUCCCACCGUCACAGGGAGAGAGGUAAUUGUACUGACCCUAGUGGGGGCAGUCGGGGACAGAGCUUGAUAGUGAGUGGAUGUUUUAAGUUUUUUCCUCCCGUCAGGAGGGCGAAGGUGAAAUGUCAGUGGGGUGCUGAGGAGGCUCCUUGCGGUCCAGGAGAACUUUGUCUUGCUGAUGGCGCCCACCGUUUCUUUCCCACGGAGGGAGGGAGACGUUUCUUUACCGGUUCAGCGGACAACGAAGUCCAGAAGACCCGAGAAGAAAAUCCAUCUACCGGUCGGAGGGGUUUUAUAAUGGGAGGCUCCAGGCUCGCCUCCGGACAUCUUCACCGAAAGAUCAUCGGGUUAUAGACUUCAAUGUUGCGUCAGUGGAGAGAAUGGGGAUCAGCGGAGUUAUCAUUCUCCCGUCUUCCGGCUCCUUGAAUCUCCAGGCUCAUACAGAGGAGAGACCCUACGCUUAUGCCAUCGGAUAUCAUCGAGGAUUCCGGAUCAACAAAACCUUGAGAGGGCGAAGGUGAAAUGUCAGUGGGGUGCUGAGGAGGCUCCUUGCGGUCCAGGAGAACUUUGUCUUGCUGAUGGCGCCCACCGUUUCUUUCCCACGGAGGGAGGGAGACGUUUCUUUACCGGUUCAGCGGACAACGAAGUCCAGAAGACCCGAGAAGAAAAUCCAUCUACCGGUCGGAGGGGUUUUAUAAUGGGAGGCUCCAGGCUCGCCUCCGGACAUCUUCACCGAAAGAUCAUCGGGUUAUAGACUUCAAUGUUGCGUCAGUGGAGAGAAUGGGGAUCAGCGGAGUUAUCAUUCUCCCGUCUUCCGGCUCCUUGAAUCUCCAGGCUCAUACAGAGGAGAGACCCUACGCUUAUGCCAUCGGAUAUCAUCGAGGAUUCCGGAUCAACAAAACCUUGAGUAUCAUUUACCCCAUUACUUGUCAACUCCUUUUAUAUAUUGUAACUUUGAAUUAAAGUAUUAACAUUUAUAUGGGCCAUAGAUCGAUAGUUUUCCCUAAGUGAUAUUUAAUUUGAAUCGGAAGGUUUUAAUGGGGUCUAAUGUAAUAAAGAACAAAGUGAACAUAGGA